rnacentral:rRNA from 1 species
AACUUGUGCUAAUACCGGAUAAGCCCUUACGGGGAAAGAUUUAUCGCCGAAAGAUCGGCCCGCGUCUGAUUAGCUAGUUGGUGAGGUAAUGGCUCACCAAGGCGACGAUCAGUAGCUGGUCUGAGAGGAUGAUCAGCCACAUUGGGACUGAGACACGGCCCAAACUCCUACGGGAGGCAGCAGUGGGGAAUAUUGGACAAUGGGGGCAACCCUGAUCCAGCCAUGCCGCGUGAGUGAUGAAGGCCCUAGGGUUGUAAAGCUCUUUUGUGCGGGAAGAUAAUGACGGUACCGCAAGAAUAAGCCCCGGCUAACUUCGUGCCAGCAGCCGCGGUAAUACGAAGGGGGCUAGCGUUGCUCGGAAUCACUGGGCGUAAAGGGUGCGUAGGCGGGUCUUUAAGUCAGGGGUGAAAUCCUGGAGCUCAACUCCAGAACUGCCUUUGAUACUGAAGAUCUUGAGUCCGGGAGAGGUGAGUGGAACUGCGAGUGUAGAGGUGAAAUUCGUAGAUAUUCGCAAGAACACCAGUGGCGAAGGCGGCUCACUGGCCCGGUACUGACGCUGAGGCACGAAAGCGUGG